rnacentral:rRNA from 1 species
AGGACGAACGCCGGCGGCGUGCUUAACACAUGCAAGUCGAGCGGUAAGGCCUUUCGGGGUACACGAGCGGCGAACGGGUGAGUAACACGUGGGUGAUCUGCCCUGCACUUCGGGAUAAGCCUGGGAAACUGGGUCUAAUACCGGAUAUGACCUCAGGUUGCAUGACUUGGGGUGGAAAGAUUUAUCGGUGCAGGAUGGGCCCGCGGCCUAUCAGUCUUGUUGGUGGGGUAAUGGCCCUACCAAGGCGAACGACGGGUACGCCGAACCUGAGAAGGGUGACCGGCCGACACGUGGGACUGGAGACACGGCCCAGACUCGUACGGGAGGCAGCAGUGGGAA